AUUGAACGCUGGCGGCAGGCCUAACACAUGCAAGUCGAGCGGAUGAAGGGAGCUUGCUCCUGGAUUCAGCGGCGGACGGGUGAGUAAUGCCUAGGAAUCUGCCUGGCAGUGGGGGAUAACGUCCGGAAACGGGCGCUAAUACCGCGUACGUCCUGAGGGAGAAAGUGGGGGAUCUUCGGACCUCACGCUAUCAGAUGAGCCUAGGUCGGAUUAGCUAGUUGGUGGGGUAAAGGCCUACCAAGGCGACGAUCCGUAACUGGUCUGAGAGGAUGAUCAGUCACACUGGAACUGAGACACGGUCCAGACUCCUACGGGAGGCAGCAGUGGGGAAUAUUGGGCAAUGGGCGAAAGCCUGACCCAGCCAUGCCGCGUGUGUGAAGAAGGUCUUCGGAUUGUAAAGCACUUUAAGUUGGGAGGAAGAGCAGUAAGUUAAUACCUUGCUGUUUUGACGUUACCAACAGAAUAAGCACCGGCUAACUACGUG
rnacentral:rRNA from 1 species